rnacentral:rRNA from 1 species
AACGAACGCUGGCGGCAUGCCUAACACAUGCAAGUCGAACGAGACCUUCGGGUCUAGUUGCGCACGUGUGCGUAACGCGUGGGAACUUGCCCUUAGGUUCGGAAUAACUCCCCGAAAGGGGUGCUAAUACCGGUUAAUGUCUUCGGACCAAAGAUUUAUCGCCUUUGGAUGGGCGCGCGUUGGAUUAGCCAGUUGGUAGGGUAAAAGCCUAGCAAGGCGACGAUCCAUAGCUGGUCUGAGAGGAUGAUCAGCCACACUGGGACUGAGACACGGCCCAGACUCCUACGGGAGGGAGCAGUGGGGAAUAUUGGACGAGGGGCGAAGGCCUAAUCAAGCAAUGCCGCGUGAGUGAUGAAGGCGUUAGGGUUGUAAAGCUCUUUUACCCGGGAUGAUAAUGACAGUACCGGGAGAAUAAGCACCGGCUAACUCCGUG